UACACAUCAGAUUAAAUACAUUGUGUUUAUUUUAAAGGAAAAAAAUUUUAAAAUAGGCAAUGAUGCUGCAAAAAUUUAAAUUUGCGCGACAAGUGCCGCCAAACUAUUCAUUUAUCGCCGCCAGGUGGCUAUAGUGAUUUGGUGCCCGAAAUUCAAUAGUUUUAUAAGUGCAAACAAGAAAGAAAUAACAACAUUUCUACGAAUCCCCGAUCGAAGAUCAAUAUCUUCGACACAGGCUGCUUAGGUAUGCUGACGAGCACUACGCAACUAUUCAUGGAACGCGUAAACCUGCGUACACAGGAGGGUCGUUAACGAUCUUUCAUGAUGCUGGAACGCUUGCGUAAGAAAGAUCAGGAUCACACGCCUAUUUUUCCUUUCUCGAGGUGGAUUCUUCAUCGAGGAACGCCGAUGGAAAACGACCGAGAUACCUGAAGACGUGGACUUUGGUUGGUAACAAUGGGCCAAUCAUGCGAGUAUCGCAUCAUCCCUUGUUUGCAUCACGCGAUCUUAAAGCUGGUGAAUGCGUGGAAUGUCUGCCGUAAUCAAUAUUUUGAGAAAGCACGGAAUUUUCCUGGAUCCUGCAACCGAGCGCAACAGGCUGGAAAGACCUGAUACAGGUAAGCAACGUUGUUUCUAGUCGUAAUUGAGUCCCGCGACACGAAUACCCGAGAUUUCGCCAUGACACUGGCGCGGAGAAACCGAUUUAUUGCAAUACGAUCGAGAACGAGAUCGACACCGUUAUUGGUAUAUGGGACUAGUCCUAAAGAUUUAUUUACAUACGUUUGUAGACACGACAAAUAUUCUUUGAUGCGUUUGCUAUGAUAGCGUUUAAUAGAGAACACGUCCCGAUCGAACCCGAAAAAUUUCAAUCGGACUCGACCCGAAUUGAAUUGAACCGAACCGAACACGAUCGGAUCCAAUAUUUUUGAG